GGGGAUGUAUGGGGGCUGGUGCCUCCCGCAGUCUUCAAAACUGUUUGCGGGGCGCUGCUGAGGCGUCCUGGGUGGGUUCGAUUCCCAUCCAUCCCC
rnacentral:tRNA from 1 species